GGCCACUUCACGUUGAAACACCGGUUCUCGUACUAUCACUGAAGUUAAGCGACGUCGAAUCUGGUCAGUAACUAGAUGGGUAACCGCUUGGGAAUAUCACGUGUUGUAAG